GGAAGGGUGCAGGAGUGGUUGAACUGGCACGCCUGGAGAGCGUGUGUACGGGGAACCGUACCGUGGGUUCGAAUCCCACCCCUUCCGCCA
rnacentral:tRNA from 1 species